GUGAAAUGCCUUUUUUAACAAACUCUAAACCCAACGAUGCAGUAAUCAAUAUCAAUGUGGUACUAAAAAUAACAAGGUAGAACAUAAACACGGGAGAUAUAAAAAUAAGAAAUAAAAAGAACAGGAGAAAGUAAGAAGCUGUAAACAGAGUCAGUUCAUUACCAUAUUAACAAUGUACAGGGAUACUGGAGUGAUAGAGGUAGAUAUGUAGAGGGGUAAACAUACUAUAUACAGGGUCAGUUCAUUACCAUAUUAACAAUGUACAGGGAUACUGGAGUGAUGGAGGUAGAUAUGUAGAGGGGUAAACAUACUAUAUACAGGGUCAGUUCAUUACCAUAUUAACAAUGUACAGGGAUACUGGAGUGAUGGAGGUAGAUAUGUAGAGGGGUAAACAUACUAUAUACAGGGUCAGUUCAUUACCAUAUUAACAAUGUACAGGGAUACUGGAGUGAUGAGGUAGAUAUGUAGAGGGGUAAACAUACUAUAUACAGGGUCAGUUCAUUACCAUAUUAACAAUGUACAGGGAUACUGGAGUGAUAGAGGUAGAUAUGUAGAGGG